rnacentral:lncRNA from 1 species
AAAGACUUUGACUAUAUCCUUAUAUGCUUCUGUUGGCCACCAGGUGAAUGCUUUCCUUGUGCGAGUUCUCCAUAACGGAUUCUUUUGAGUCAAUGUGCAUUUAGCAGUUGGGCUAUGUGGCUAACUUCUGCACUCUCUCCAAUUAAAUUUGAAUGCUUGACAGUUCAACAAUCAAGAGGACCCAGGUGUCUGCAACCUUAUCCUGCCAGGGAAUCUUCAGGAUAUUCCUGAGAUCAUACAAGUGGAAGUGUUAGUUUCCUGAGCUGCUCAGGUUUCACAGGCAUACAGCAGUGUGAUUUGCAUACCCUUUCCACAGACCUUCAGUUUGCUAAUCAACUUGACCCCUCAUUUCUCCCACACUUCCUUUGAAGUCUCUCAAACUCUGAGCUACCUCUGUUAAGACCUGAAUCAAUCUAACUAUCUGUGUGGACAGCCCUGGAGAGUAUACAUCCAAAGUUAGUGGACUUACCUAAAGCAUUUACUAUUUUUCCAUUUUUCAAGACAAAUGAUUCCAUGUCUAGAUUCUGUGGUGCUGGCUGGUGGAGAACUUCUGUUUCAUUGGUGUUGGUUGUCAGUCCAAAAUUGGCACAGGUAACAGAGGAUCAGUCCAAACUCUGUUGUCUUGCAGUCUCAGGGGCAUCAUUGAUUGUGCAAUCACCUGAACAAAAAGCUGGAUAGCAACUCCUCCUUUCUUUUGGCCUUAGCCUGUAGCCUUUUCAACUUAAAUAAUUUGCCAUCAAUGUGGAAGCUGACCAUGAUGCUGUUUUCAUCCUUGUUUAAGGCAUCUAACAACAUUGAAGAAAACAGGCUGAGGAGCAUGGGGACAAGCACAUAACCCAUUAGUGCUUGUGAAUGCAUGAGAAAUUCAUCCUUUAGCCAGAUCCCAUGCCAGCUUGAAACUUCUAAGGAACUUCUUUGGCCAACUGAAUUUCACUGUCUUUCAUAGGUCCUUGAGAUUAACAACAGCAUGAAAGUCCUUGGUCUACUAGUGCCUUCCAAAUACUUGGUGAUGACCACUUUGCUCCAUCUAAGUUUUCUUUUCUUUACAACAAAUAUCUACAGUUUCUUCCUUUGGGCUUCAAAUGGUAAGUCUUCCAGUUACCUUGUCCUCCUAAUUAUCCUUCUCUGGAAGCC